GCUGUUUGGUUAGAUUGUCUCUUUAACACAUUCCCCAUUUCCAUUCUCAAUUUUAGGGAUUAUAAAUCCAUCUCUCUGUCUGUAACAUAUUUAUAUCACAUUUGUUUUUAUCAGAAUCUAUAUAUUAUAGUCAUAUAACAAUAUUUUUGCAAUGUUAUACAUGUGAUAUUGUUCAAAUAUAUACAUUAGUAGUUAAUUGCAGAAAAAAAUAAUACAUUUGUUUAUAUCAUCAGAAGAUGAUAAGGCUUCACAAUAAAAAUGAAACCAAAUAAUCAUAGAAACAAUUAAUGUCAAUUUUGCUUCUAUUGGUACCAUGUUGAUUGAACCAAGAAUGACAUAAUAUUAGUUUUUUUUAAACACAUUUUAAAUGAAAUUCCUGUAUUACAUGAAAAAGGGAUGCAACACUUUACUUGCAUCGAUAUUGCAUGUAUUGAUGGGGGUCAAGUUUUAGAGUUGAAUUGUGAGUAAAAAAUGUUGAAAAUGAUCUGAAAUUAGCAGCAUUCCUGUUUUUAAGGAUGCUUAAUUGUUCAAAGAUUUUUGAUUUUUUUUUAAAUACAUGUAUGAAAACAAAAUUGAAGUAUGAAAAGUGCCCCUCACAAUAUGUUUUUUUUCAUUUUUUGGGGCAAGGAAAAUGUGUCUUUUGCUAUGUAAUCAUUAAUGCCAUCAGAUUUACCACUUUGUGUCAAUUUUGUGUGUUGUUUGAAUUUUUGAACAAGACCAUGUGCAAAAACAUUAUUAUUACUUUCAAUUUUGAUCCAUUCACUCAAAAAAAUUUGCGAACAGUGAAGUGUUCUGAAAAGACAUG
rnacentral:lncRNA from 1 species